UACGUAGGUGGCAAGCGUUAUCCGGAAUUAUUGGGUGUAAAGCGUUCGUAGGCUUUUUAAAAGGUCUCUGAUUAAAUAUGUAAGCUCAACUUACAUCAGGUUAGAGAAACCAUUAGAAUAGAAGGGUAUCGAGGUAAGUGGAAUUUGUGGUGUAGCAGUGAAAUGCGUUGAUAUCACAAGGAACACCAAUGGCGAAGGCAGCUUACUAGGUACAACUUGACGCUGAGGAACGAAAGCGUGGGUAG
rnacentral:rRNA from 1 species